AAGUGAAAUGUUUAAUGGCUAUCUGGUUAAAUAAAAACAAGCUACAUGCUCUGCAUUGUGGACAAGGACAGAAUCCCAGCUUGACUCAAUGAGGAAAUCUAAAACCAUUGCAGGACCACAGAAAUGACACACACACACUUGACAAUGAUCGGACAAUAAGUUAUAUCUCUAAGGUGCUAAAUCACGUGGUGCUUUAAACAGAGAGCAGAAUGGGGACAAAAGAAAGAUGAAAAUGCAGAAUUGAGGAUGGUGUGUCUAGGUUCUAGGGGGCCCCCCAGAUAAGCUCAAACCUGGCUCACUUCCAGUCCUCCCUCUGCUCUCCACGUCUCCAAGGCCAAGAUCCACUUCCUCCUCAGAGCCCCACAGGUCAGAACCUUUAGGGAACAGAGCUAGACAGAGCUUGAUGUCAUUCUGGAUAAAACCUCCAGGGGACUCCCUGACCCUGAGCCUCCCACAUUCAAAAGAGCCACCACUUCUGCUCACUGAUGCCAGCUGAGUAAGUGCAGGUACAAUGCCAUCUCCCACUCCAGAUUUCUUGGGAGUUGGCACACUUGGCCUGGGGAUGUGGCGGGGGGAGAGGGGGUGGCGUGUUUCUGGAGGGAGGGCUGGCAUGGACAGGGGAGUGCGGUCCCCAUCAUUUCACCUUGCCAACCACACUCCAUACCCACUGCCACAUGCUGACCCCAUGUCACCCACCUGUGCCCACUUUUCCCCUUCAGAGUAAGCAUGUCACUCAGAAACACAUUCAUCUGGUUUCCAAGCAAUACAGCAGCUCAGCAGAGACGGAGACCACCCUGAGCACUGGAACAGGAGGGAAACAGGGUGAAGCUUUAAGAAAACGAAACAAAACAGCUGUUUUCAAAAGAACUGCAAACUGGGAAACACCAACAAGACCCGACACAGCCUUGGACUCCAACACACUUCCUACUUAGGAGAGUGAUACAACUGCGUGUGCUCCGAAAAAUAGAAGAAUACUUCCAAAAUGGGCAUUCUCCUCAUGGUUGCCACACCCUCUCUGCCGGUGUCAAGGUCCAGCUGAAUUCAGUUGCCUCCUGGGAGACCUUAUUCCUGACUGGUAAGUGCAAAGUCACCAGGGAAUGAGAUAAAAAUUUACUGAGUCCUAGGUGCAUCCAAAACCCAUCUACACAGAAGCCUGCUGGCUUCCCUGCUGCCCUCCUGCUCAAACACGCCAGCACACAUGGAGCUCAGCCCCCAGACUCCAUUUUGCACCCCCCUCCCCUUGAAGGAAAACAAGAAGCUGGUCCCCAGCACCAAGACGGAAAAUCCAGGUCAGAUGUGGGGUAGGCCUUCAGCUGCUACACGUUUACAUGUUAAAACCAAAAACAAGGGGAGUUCCCGUCGUGGCGCAGUGGUUAACGAAUCCGACUAGGAACCGUGGGGUUGCGGGUUCGAUCCCUGCCCCUGCUCAGUGGGUUAAUGAUCCGGCGUUGCCAUGAGCUGUGGUGUAGGUCACAGAAGCAGCUCGGAUCCCGCGUUGCUGUGGCUCUGGCGUAGGCUGGUGGCUACAGCUCCGAUUGGACCCCUAGCCUGGGAACCUCCCAUAUGCCGGGGGAGCAGCCCAAGAAAUGGCAAAAAGACAAAAACAAAAAACAAGUCACGUGCCCAUUGACCUGACAGUCUGCUUUCCACUGGCGUCUCAGCUCUGGAAGCCCCAGGGAGCUGGCUUGUUGAAAAGAUCAGCCAAUGCUUUCGGUCUCCUGGGGAGGCAGCCACCCCGCCUCCCCAUGGUCUGGCCAUGGACCCUGCCCACUCCCACUAUGGCAAGGGCACCUCGAUGUCAGCCCCCACCCAGAGAUGCAGGUCCAGUGUUGGGACAGGAGGCAGAAGGGGCCACACCCCAUUAAAAAGAAAAGACACUUCUGUGUUUGGCUAAAGCCUGCGUUUUAACCAAAGGUAAUAUAAAUUACUCUGUGCCCAAACUAGCACUAUUGUUUUGAAAAAGAGAAUAAGAAAGAAGCGCAAACCCAUACCAUAUCCGAAGGCAGCCCUUGCUGGGGCUGUCGAGGCUGUUGGGACAUGGAACAAGGCAAACUCUUUAUGAGGCUUUUAAAUUUGGGAAAAACCAGUCACAGACAGAGGGAACUCAGGAAUCCCUCUGCCACAGACUUAGAAAAGCAGGUGGCCCCAGCCAUGGGAUCGAAGAGUGGAGAUCCGGCCACCUGAUUAGGGUUCUCUGCAUGAUUCAGGGCCUCCUAGAGGCUUCCUGGCUGCCACAGCUGUAUCCCCAGAUGCAAAGAGAAACAGAAAAAAAAAAAAAAAAAAA
rnacentral:lncRNA from 1 species